AAACUGAUCUGGGAUUGGGGGACAUCGGUGUUAGGAAGCGUAUUGGUUUCUUCGUGAUACUCCCUGCUAUUGGUUGAAAGAAGUGGAAGUUUUUUCUUGGCUGCAGUCCGACUCACGUUAACUUGUUACUUUUCUCUCGUGGCUAUCGCUUUGCUGGUGCUCUCUCACCGGAGUUCUUUCGGCCAUCCUUUCAUUGGUUUUGGUGACAGGCCCUUACCUCCGAGAAUACUUACUGGUCAAGUUGAGCGGUGUGGUCAGGCAGCAGUAUGGUUUUGACUUGAGAAUCUGCAGGUUUCACAUAAACUGGAGCGUCUUUAUAAUCUGUGGUUGCUCGGCUAUUUUUCAGCAAAAUACGUAUACUAUCUCGUGUAACGUUUCAGCAACCUCUCUGUGUUGUCACUGGGGGUACUAUGGAAUCUAGAUGAGAAGGGCUUUCCUAUUUUGAGUUGACAGAUGAAUGAAACAAGGUAACAUCUGUGUAAAUGUUAGUAUCUGAGUUCUUGUCCGACAGACGCUCAUUUGUUUAACAUCUGUCUUUCCAUUCCUUGUCGGAUAAGUGCAGAGUAAUCAUCAGUCUUGGCUGUGGAGGUGGCUUAGUAAUCAAGUGAAGGAGAUGAAACAAACGGCCAAGCGUGAUUGGGUGGCUUGGAGGUUGUAGGUGUUCCCUUCUGACGGUUCGUUUGUGUGAAUGUUUACGUUUUCAUCACCAAAAAUCGGACGUAGACAUCCGUUGUCUUCCUUGGUAGAUUUAUGGGAAUUCAGAAGUUGUGAUGAUUCGGAAAACUUCAUUCCCUUGUCAUGCCUUGUCUGAGGAGCAGGGAGCUUAGGCGUACAGAUGACUACACCUGCACACUUAUUGGCACUGAUUUUUUUUUUUAAGGUGAACUCAUUUAUUAUCCCUGGGGGCUAGAAUACAGGAAUAUUUUUAUUUUAAUAUUUGCUUUAAAAUUUUGAGCUUGCCAGCGUUUUUAAAAAUUCUUCCUCUUAAGCAUGAAUUUCCCGAAUUUAUACCAAUCUGAAUAUGGCCUUAUGUAUUGCAUGAUCCCAUUGAGGAAUACAGAUAUAAACCCUUUGUUUUUUAAAUGUAUUUUUUAGAAAGUCUUUUUUUUUUUGACUGUUAAUUUUUUUUUUUUUUUUACUUUUUAAAACUUACUUGAACAUAAAUUACACUGACUUCGUAUAUUUUUUAUGGCUGAUAUUUUUUGAGAUUAUGGGAUAUGCAAUAAUCCGGAAGAAAUUUGUGCUAAAAUUGAGUGUCACUCAGAGCACCUGGCUAGCUCAGUCAGAAUACGUGACUUUUGAUCGUGUGAGUUCAAGCUCCACAUUGGGUGUAGAGAUUGCUUAAAAAUAAAUAAACUUUUUAAAAAUUGAGUGCCAUUCGUCAUAAUGGCCGACAAUCUUGGCAAACACCGCUGAAUCCACCAAAAACAAAUCUGGCCUUUCUGUAGGCUUGUUCUUGCUCCACAAAGUCCUAGAGUUUAAACUGUCUUUUUCCUAAACCAAGAGGAUUAUUCGUGACAGUUUGAAGAAUAAUUAUUUUGUUGGUUCCCCCCCCCCAAACUUGUGAAUAAUCUUGCUUUAAGGAAAACUUUGAAAUAAUCCUUUCAGCAAAUUGGUGUUAGUAGGCACUUGUGCUAGACUUGAGGACUCCUACCCGUUAGAAAAUGCCUGUCUUAGGUAACUCUUUUGUACAGCUUCAAGCAUUUACUUAGCCUGCAGUAAAAGGAUAAGGUGCACGUAUUAAUCCUCUUCCAAAGAAGAACCACCUGACAUCUUGCUAGCUAUGUUAGAUACUAAAGAAGGCUUCCCCACAAUCCAUUUGCAUCUGCUUUGACUGGUGGUUUCUAUCAACCUACAAAGACUGACUUAUUGGUGAGGGCAGCUGGACAACCCUGAGAGCAACUUAGAGAAAUCCAUCUUGGGCACACUCUAUAAAGGAGCUCCUUCUCUGGAAAUAGCACCCCAGAUAAGUGCACAAAAGCAAGACACCCUCGUGGACCUACUUCCUCCCGCUUUCAACACCCUGAUGCCUGAAGCUAUGCUUGAUACUAAAGGAGGUUUUGCAUCUUCUGUGUUUUGAGAUUGCAACUGUGGACAGUUAUGGCUAAUCCUAGUAGAUUGUCUUCCCUUCUUUUAACAUCUCGGAUGAAUCUGGGGCACACUAGUGUGUUAUGUGAAGAUGGAUGUUGAAUAUACUGUGUAGAUCCACCCCAGCCAGCCAUCUUAAAAUACCUGCAUGGGCCACAGAAAUAUCUGCGGAGAAAGUUUGGGUAAAAUCAGUGCAUAUGAUGAUAGUGUGUAGAAUUUGACAGCAGUAUCAGGAGCUGAGGAGGAGGAGAAGAUGGAAAGGAGUCUAGCGACUUAAAAAUCUCAUAGCGUUCUCUGUGAGACCCAUCUGAAACGCCGGCUCGCAGAGGCGCACGGAUGGGUAGACGCCGCUCCAGACAACGAUGGUGGGGGCUGUGUGGCCGUACUCAUACAGUGCACUGGAAACGCGGGAGGAAGCAGCUGAAGAAAUGUGCUUAGAGAAACAAAACAAACUUGUUUAGAAGUGUUAGCCUUUCGGCAAGAACAAUUUCUCAAAGCGUUGACGUCCUCGGGAGCAGUGUCAGGAGUCAGAAAACCAGGCAGAGGCUCCCGCGGGGUCCUUGGCUCUUGAGUCCUACUGUCCUGUGUAGUCGGUUUCUUCAUGGAGUCAGUGCCUCGUUUGAAGCGACUGAAGAGUAUCAGUGAAUAGUCUAUUUAAAACAAUGACAGCUGAGAGUAUUUUCAAAAAAGUUCAGCCGGGACAACCUGGAGUGUGAUCUGCCGACAUCUGCUGCAGCCGGUGACGUUCAGAGCACGUGUGGAGCCGAAGGUUUCACUGGGCAAGUUUGCAACACUUCAGAGAUUGUCAGGUGCUUAAAGCCUGUUGUUACUCAUUGUAUUAUUCAUCAGCAGGAACUCUGCGGAAAAAUAUUUGAUCGUGUCUUAUUGAACCAGUAGAAUCAGCAGUGAACCUCACUCCUCCCUGUGGACUUCACUAUGAUCAAUUCCAUCAAUUUCUGUCAGAAGAAGCAGCUGAGUAUUCUGACGCUCGCUUGAUGGCCUAGCAGUGGUGACGUUUUCUUGCAGUUUCCUGAGUUCAGGGCUGACAUCAAAAUUUUUCUGAAUGAGAAGAAUCCUUUCCCACCACUGUUGGACACGGAGUAGCUUUGGAAACGGCUUUUCCUGCAGACUUGGGAAGGCUCCUUGGUGAGCUCAGCCUAAAGCCACAGGGCAAACGGCCUGUCUGCAAACCUUGAAUUGCAGCACAGCCACUUCGGCCACUAAUGUUUGAGUCACGUCCAGCUGUCCAGCUACUUUAUGUACUUCCUACGCACUGUCAGAAGUUGAAACAAAGGCAAGAUCUACAUUCCUACACAGAGUUACUGUGGAUUUGUUUCUAGAGGAAAACUAUGGUUCUAACUGAUUUUGCAGCUUGAUGUGGGUGCAAAAGAAGUUGCAUAUUUCAAAAUCCAUUUACCUGCUCAACUAAGGAGUUUACACCACCCCUUUAACUGGAAGUGAUUAAAAGGCAGAAUAUCAGGACUCCAAUACAAUCUAUAAAUCUGUAUACAAUCUAUAAGUAUCUUCUAAGGGAAGAAUGUGCUCAAUUAAAAUCAUGCUUGUGGGGGAAAAAAUUGUGCUUGUGGAAUGGUAAUGGCAUUUGGCAGUACCUGUCUGUGUGAAGAGACAUUUUCAAAGAUGAGAUCUCUAAAAUCUUAUUACAGAAUCUGCAUUAGCAGAGGAACAUUUCUAACCAAUUUGGUGAGAGGGACCCUUAACUCUACAAACACUGUUCCACUCACCCACCCUCAAAAUCUGAUCUUAUUAGUAGACCUCUGUUGUAGCCAAUUAUUAUAUUUUGAAUUUCAUCAAUUAAAAAAAGUGGACGUUUUCUCUCAUUACGUUAGUAUAUAACAUCCUCAAUUUGGCCCCUUGGCCUUCAGAAUCUAAAAUACUUAGUAUCUGGACCUUUUAGAAAAAGUUCAUGGACCCUGCUCUAGAGUCUGGUUUGUUGUUGGGGAAGGGAGCAGGUCGUGGCUUUAGGCAGAGAGAGUCAGAGUGAGACCAUGCAGCACGUUGUUCUAGAAGUGGGGGACUGGAUUCGGAUUAGAACACCAGCUCCUUUCUCCCCACUGCCUCUAAGUAUUGUCUUUCUGUCACCUCUGACACUUUUCUGUCUAUUCUGAUUGUUUAUUCUCCUCACACUUUUCCCCAGGAGAGUGAAAUACCCAAAUUGACAAAUCUGUUAAGAACACUUGGAAUAGGAUUUAAAGUUUAGUUGGAAAUUUAACUGGUAGCAGUUUAGCACUUGAUUUAUCACCUUCAGAGCGAUGUAACUGAACUGAACUUCUUGUUAAUCCCUCAUGUUGCUACCACCAUUAGUGGAGCAAGUGAUUAAAUUUAGAUUUCCAAUAGCGUGCUCUUUGCUGUUACUUAUAACUUUGAAAAAUAAAAAUAACCCAGUAGUCCUUGAAA